rnacentral:rRNA from 1 species
UACGUAGGGUGCAAGCGUUGUCCGGAAUUAUUGGGCGUAAAGAGCUCGUAGGCGGUCUGUCGCGUCUGCUGUGAAAACUCGGGGCUUAACCCCGGGCCUGCAGUGGGUACGGGCAGACUAGAGUGCGGUAGGGUGACUGGAAUUCCUGGUGUAGCGGUGAAAUGCGCAGAUAUCAGGAGGAAUACCGGUGGCGAAGGCGGGUCUCUGGGCCGAUACUGACGCUGAGGAGCGAAAGCGUGGGGAGCGAACAGG